GACGAACGCUGGCGGUGUGCUUAACACAUGCAAGUCGAACGGUAAGGCCCUUUCGGGGGUCCACGAGUGGCGAACGGGUGAGUAACACGUGAGUAACCUGCCCUCAUCUCUGGGAUAACAGUCGGAAACGGUUGCUAAUACUGGAUAUGAGCUUGCAAGGCAUCUUGUGGGUUGGAAAGAUUUUUUUUGGUUGGGGAUGGACUCGCGGCCUAUCAGCUUGUUGGUGAGGUAGUGGCUCACCAAGGCUUCGACGGGUAGCCGGCCUGAGAGGGCGACCGGCCACAUUGGGACUGAGAUACGGCCCAAACUCCUACGGGAGGCAGCAGUGGGGAAUAUUGCACAAUGGACGGAAGUCUGAUGCAGCAACGCCGCGUGCGGGAUGACGGCCUUCGGGUUGUAAACCGCUUUCAAUUGUGACGAAGCUUUUUUGUGGCGGUAGCAGUAGAAGAAGCACCGGCUAACUACGUG
rnacentral:rRNA from 1 species